rnacentral:rRNA from 1 species
UACAGAGGGGGCAAGCGUUGUCCGGAAUUACUGGGCGUACAGCGCGCGCAGGCGGUUGCCGACGUGCCGUGUGACAAACGGGGGCUCAACCCCCGAGGGCCACGGUAAACGGGGCGACUGGAGGAAGGGAGAGGGAUGUGGAAUGCCCGGUGGAGCGGUGAAAUGCGUAGAGAUCGGGCGGAACACCAGCGGCGAAGGCGGCAUCCUGGCCCUUACCUGACGCUGAGGAGCGAAAGCGUGGGUAGCGAACAGG